rnacentral:rRNA from 1 species
AGAAUCAACGCUGGCGGCGUGCCUAACACAUGCAAGUCGCACGAGAAAGGGGACUUCGGUCCCUGAGUACAGUGGCGCACGGGUGAGUAACACGUGAAUAAUCUACCUCCGAGUGGGGAAUAACUGAGAGAAAUCUUAGCUAAUACCGCAUAACACUUACGAGUCAAAGCAGCAAUGCGCUUGGAGAGGAGUUCGCGGCAGAUUAGUUAGUUGGCGGGGUAAUGGCCCACCAAGACGAUGAUCUGUAUCCGGCCUGAGAGGGCGCACGGACACACUGGAACUGAAACACGGUCCAGACUCCUACGGGAGGCAGCAGUGGGGAAUUUUGCGCAAUGGGGGAAACCCUGACGCAGCAACGCCGCGUGGAGGAUGAAAUCCCUUGGGAUGUAAACUCCUUUCGAUCGGGAAGAUAAUGGCGGUACCGAGAGAAGAAGCCCCGGCUAACUUCGUGCCAGCAGCCGC